GUCAAGUGCGGUACGGUCCAAGCCGGAAAGGGCGAGAGGGUCUACAAAGCCGAGCCGAUUUGCAGGUUUUUCUUGAAGGAUAACAUUCAAGAUAUUGGAUCGCUUGCUUCUCAAGUCAUUGUCAAUUUCGACAGCGUCUUCCUUAAUACCUGGUAUUUUUCUAUUCAUCGAUUGAGAUGUUUUAAAACAUUCAAAUUAAACCAUGAAUCUUAUGUUAUGGAUACGCUGUUUUCACAGGGCACAAUUGAAAGAUGUGGUGCUAGAAGGAGGAGAUGCGUUUGGCCGUGCACAUGGUGGGAUGAAAAUCUUCGACUAUAUGGGCACAGAUGAGAGAUUCAGCAAACUCUUUAACCAGACCGGAUUCACCAUCGCUGUUGUGAAGAAGGCUCUUGAAGUUUACCAAGGCUUCAAAGGUGUGAAUGUUUUGGUUGAUGUAGGAGGAGGAGUUGGUAACACUCUUGGUGUAGUUACUUCGAAGUAUCCUAACAUUAAAGGUAUCAAUUUUGAUCUGCCUUGUGCCUUGGCACAAGCACCUUCUUACCUUGGGGUAGAACAUGUCGCCGGAGAUAUGUUUGUUGAUAUCCCAACCGGAGAUGCCAUGAUCUUGAAAGUAAGUCCAACAACCCUCUUAUUUUAACACAUACUUACUAGAAGUGUAUGUAUGUUGUACAUUGUGCUUACUUUUUGGGAUUAAAUUUGUUUUACAGCGUAUACUUCAUGACUGGACCGACGAAGACUGCGUAAAGAUUCUUAAAAACUGUUGGAAAUCACUUCCUGAAAACGGUAAAGUUGUUGUCAUAGAAUUAGUCACUCCUGAUGAGGCAGAAAAUGGGGACAUCAACGCGAACAUUGCCUUUGAUAUGGACAUGUUGAUGUUCACACAAUGUUCCGGCGGAAAAGAGAGAUCACGAGCUGAGUUUGAAGCUUUAGCCAUGGAAUCAGGCUUUACACAUUGCAAGUUCGUUUGUCCCGCUUACCACUGUUGGAUUAUUGAGUUUUGCAAAGAAAAUGUUUAAAAAUAUAAUGAGGAAUCCUCAUGCAUCAAUUGUUAAUUUCAUCUUCGCUUUAUUCCUUGUUUGCGAUGAUCAUGCCUUUGUCCUUGUCUUCAAUGCAAUGAAAUAAAAAUAAGCUUUUAGAUUUAUUUUUUAACAGUCCACUCGCUGAAAAAUAACGGCUAGCUACUUCUCUAUUUUAAUGUUUCAAUUUUUCUAUUAUCAUGCAUAUGUUUGAAAGAAUCUUUUCAUAAUAAAUUAAUAUUCUAAUAAUGUAGUCUUUUAAGAAUACAGUUUUAAGUAUAAGAUAUCAUAUAUGAUGGGACGAAUAUCCGAUAAAAAAGAAACUGAGUCAAUUUUAAGGUUUUAUCCUUGGUAACUAUAAAUUCGGAAGGUGUGUGCAACGAUUAUAAAAAAUGCCACGAUACGAGCAUAGUAGUGUACAUAAAAUCCACGAUAAUGUUUGAUAUUUAUCUCUAUAUACACUUCUAUGCUCGUAUCGUGGAUUUUAUGUUCAUAAUUAAUUAAUUAAAGAUCUUUUAAAAAUAAAUAAAUUAAUUAAAGAUGUAUUUAAGUUUACUGAUAAGGUUAAGUUGUAGGAGUUAAAAUUUAGAUAAGUAAGAAAAUUACAAUUGAUGGAAUUACAAUGUUCGUAUAUGGUUUUGGAGGAAAAUGAAAAAUAGAGUUUAUUUUAUUGUUAUGUCAUUGAUUUAAAUUGUCUUUCUUUCCCCAGAAAUAUGCAACCUUCUUAUCCAUCCAUAACAACUCAUCAGUCAUCAGGCUCACUCACCUACCACCGUAAUAACCAUGCAAAGACAAAGGCAAUUUCAGUCACACACGUAACAACUUUGUAAUUUACUUAAAUUGGUCCAUUAUAUGGUUACUCUUUGAAUUUUAAGUUUUCUUAUGAUUAUUGAUCUAAUUAACCCAAAACUAUAUAAGUAAAAAUGAAGUUUGACAAUCCAAAACUCGUGACCUUCCUAGAAGGCCGAUUCAAGAUGGAGGCCAUAGAGGACAAGCGUGAUGUUUACACUCACUUCGGUCCAAAUUACAGCAGAUAUAUUAUCCUACUAAAGAAAAAUAAAAUAAAGAUUUCCGUAUUUUUCUUGUCCUUCCUAUGUCGCAAUCGUUCAAAUCAAGUUGGAGACUUGGAGCUAUGCGUUUCUCUGCGUAUUAUAAUUUAUUUUAUUAUUAUGCGAUCAAACUGAAGAACAAAAUAAAUAAGAUAUUUGCUUAUUAUUUUAUUUUCUUUUAUAACCGAUAUUUGCGAACGUAAUAUACACUUUUAUAGUCACUUGGUCUACCAUAGUGAUGAAAUUAAAGUGACUGUCGUCUCCUUUGAACAUUGACUUUUCAAAACCAAUUGACUUGAAACAAGAUUUAGCUGUUUCAGCCGCAACAAGGGCCUCUUACUUUUCCACAUCGAGACUAUUCAGCCAGCCAAGUGGACCGGCACGCCAACGAUAUAAUUCAAUGAAUACAAUAAAUUUAGUUAAAAUAAUAUGAGGAGGCUAUAAAGCCUUAGCUAUAAAAGGAGAAAUCAUCUUCAUCAACACUACAAAUAAGAAACACACAUACACAGCCUCUCUCUCCCUAUCUAUCUUUCCUCGCUUCUGAUCAGAGUGAUCACGUACGGUACCGUGAAAGAGAAGAAAGAAAAAAAUGGGAAUCCUUUUUGAAGAAACCUUGAGCUCUAACCCCCAAACCCAAAUUGUUAUUGAUGAUGAUGAUAAUGAGUUGGGAUUGAUGGCCGUGAGACUAGCCAAUGCUGCAGCCUUUCCAAUGGUUCUCAAAGCUUCCCUCGAGCUCGGUGUCUUUGACACUCUCUAUGCCGCCUCUGAGUUCCUCUCACCUUCCGAGAUAUCGAGCCGGCUACCAACCACACCUCGCAACCCUGGGGCGCCGGUUUUGUUAGAUCGUAUGCUUCGUCUACUCGCUAGCUACUCCAUGGUCAAGUGCGGUACGGUCCAAGCCGGAAAGGGCGAGAGGGUCUACAAAGCCGAGCCGAUUUGCAGGUUUUUCCUGAAGGAUAACAUUCAAGAUAUUGGAUCGCUUGCUUCUCAAGUCAUUGUCAAUUUCGACAGCGUCUUCCUUAAUACCUGGUAUUUUUUCUACAGUUCAUCUUAGUACAAACCUGUUCCGUUUUUCCAUGCCCUAGUUCCUGAUUGAAAUGCUAUGAGAUCUUACCUUAAACCGUACGCAAAUUUUAGGGCACAAUUGAAAGAUGUCGUGCUAGAGGGAGGAGAUGCAUUUGGCCGUGCACAUGGUGGCAUGAAACUAUUCGACUAUAUGGGUACAGAUGAGAGAUUCAGCAAGCUCUUUAACCAAACCGGAUUCACAAUCGCCGUCGUGAAGAAGGCUCUAGAAGUCUACGAAGGCUUCAAAGGUGUGAAUGUUUUG
rnacentral:lncRNA from 1 species